GGCGCUGGUGGUGUAGGGGUUAAGCGUGCGACCAUGUGCAGAGGCUGUAGUCCUCAAUGCAUCUGUCACUGGUUCAAGUCCCGGACCUGGCCA